rnacentral:rRNA from 1 species
AUUGAACGCUGGCGGCAGGCCUAACACAUGCAAGUCGAAUGGUAACAGGAAACAGCUUGCUGUUUCGCUGACGAGUGGCGGACGGGUGAGUAAUGUCUGGGAAACUGCCUGAUGGAGGGGGAUAACUACUGGAAACGGUAGCUAAUACCGCAUAACGUCGCAAGACCAAAGAGGGGGACCUUCGGGCCUCUUGCCAUCAGAUGUGCCCAGAUGGGAUUAGCUAGUAGGUGGGGUAACGGCUCACCUAGACGACGAUCCCUAGCUGGUCUGAGAGGAUGACCAGCCACACUGGAACUGAGACACGGUCCAGACUCCUACGGGAGGCAGCAGUGGGGAAUAUUGCACAAUGGGCGCAAGCCUGAUGCAGCCAUGCCGCGUGUAUGAAGAAGGCCUUCGGGUUGUAAAGUACUUUCAGCGGGGAGGAAGGGAGUAAAGUUAAUACCUUUGCUCAUUGACGUUACCCGCAGAAGAAGCACCGGCUAACUCCGG